CUUCCUAAGUAAAAUGGAAGGGUAUAGCUGAUGGGUCACUAAGUGUGAUUCUGUGAGUCCAGUGACUGGAUCACUAAUAAUCAGUGUCCACUCAGGUGUUAAGCAUUGCUCAGUUAUGGUGGUACAUUAAUCUCAGGUUUGCAGUCCAUGCAGAGUGGUCGGUCUCGUUUGCAGGCCCAUUAUUCGACUCUCUGCUUCAGCCAAUGCCUGUGUUAG